UUAUUUAGCGGCGGACGGGUGAGUAACGUGUGGGUAACCUGCCUUUUACGUGUGGAAUAAUCGUUGGAAACGACGACUAAUACCGCAUACGGGUUCUUGGAAGGCAUCUUCUAAGAAAGAAAGGAGUAAUUCGGUAAAAGAUGGGGCCCGCAUCUGAUUAGCUAGUUGGUGAGAUAAGUAGCCCCACCAAGGCAACGAUCAGUAGCCGACCUGAGAGGGUGACCGGCCACAUUGGGACUGAGACACGGCCCAAACUCCUACGGGAGGCAGCAG
rnacentral:rRNA from 1 species